rnacentral:rRNA from 1 species
GUAUUUAUGAAUUUAUUCGUUUUACUUUACAAGGGAAAUGGUAAUGUACCUUAGGCAAAGGGUUGCUUUAAUAUUCAUCAAGUUUGACCUCAAAUCAGGUAGGAUUACCCGCUGAACUUAAGCAUAUCAAUAAGCGGAGGAAAAGAAACCAACUGGGAUUACCUUAGUAACGGCGAGUGAAGCGGUAAAAGCUCAAAUUUGAAAUCUGGUACUUUCAGUGCCCGAGUUGUAAUUUGUAGAAUUUGUCUUUGAUUAGGUCCUGUCUAUGUUCCUUGGAACAGGACGUCAUAGAGGGUGAGAAUCCCGUUUGGCGAGGAUACCUUUUCUCUGUAAGACUUUUUCGAAGAGUCGAGUUGUUUGGGAAUGCAGCUCAAAGUGGGUGGUAAAUUCCAUCUAAAGCUAAAUAUUGGCGAGAGACCGAUAGCGAACAAGUACAGUGAUGGAAAGAUGAAAAGAACUUUGAAAAGAGAGUGAAAAAGUACGUGAAAUUGUUGAAAGGGAAGGGCAUUUGAUCAGACAUGGUGUUUUUUGCAUGCACUCGCCUCUCGUGGGCUUGGGCCUCUCAAAAAUUUCACUGGGCCAACAUCAGUUCUGGCAGCAGGAUAAAUCAUUAAGAAUGUAGCUACCUCGGUAGUGUUAUAGCUUAUUGGAAUACUGCUAGCUGGGAUUGAGGACUGC